rnacentral:siRNA from 1 species
CGUAUGAAAAAUUGCCAUGCUGAC